GAUGAACGCUGGCGGCGUGCCUAAUACAUGCAAGUCGAGCGAACAGACGAGGAGCUUGCUCCUCUGAUGUUAGCGGCGGACGGGUGAGUAACACGUGGAUAACCUACCUAUAAGACUGGGAUAACUUCGGGAAACCGGAGCUAAUACCGGAUAACAUGUUGAACCGCAUGGUUCAACAGUGAAAGACGGUUUUGCUGUCACUUAUAGAUGGAUCCGCGCCGCAUUAGCUAGUUGGUAAGGUAACGGCUUACCAAGGCAACGAUGCGUAGCCGACCUGAGAGGGGGGCGGAGGAACCGGGAAGGGAGACACGGACAAGGGGACUGCGAGAGGGAGCAGAAGGGAAUGGGAGGCAAGAGGAGGAAGGAUGACAGAGCAAUGUCAAGUGAGAGGAAAAGAUCGGGCGAUCGGAAAAACGGGUGACGGGGGAAAAACAAAGGUGGAAGCAAACAGAGAGGUAGUGACGGUAUGUGAAGAAAAAGCAACGGCUAACUACGUG
rnacentral:rRNA from 1 species